rnacentral:rRNA from 1 species
ACGUACACUCCUGCGGGAGGCAGCAGUGGGGAAUAUUGGACAAUGGGCGCAAGCCUGAUCCAGCCAUGCCGCGUGAGUGAUGAAGGCCCUAGGGUUGUAAAGCUCUUUCACCGGUGAAGAUAAUGACGGUAACCGGAGAAGAAGCCCCGGCUAACUUCGUGCCAGCAGCCGCGGUAAUACGAAGGGGGCUAGCGUUGUUCGGAUUUACUGGGCGUAAAGCGCACGUAGGCGGACUAUUAAGUCAGGGGUGAAAUCCCGGGGCUCAACCCCGGAACUGCCUUUGAUACUGGUAGUCUUGAGUUCGAGAGAGGUGAGUGGAAUUCCGAGUGUAGAGGUGAAAUUCGUAGAUAUUCGGAGGAACACCAGUGGCGAAGGCGGCUCACUGGCUCGAUACUGACGCUGAGGUGCGAAAGCGUGGGGAACAAACAGGAUUAGAUACCCCGGUAGUCCCAUGA